CAUUAGAUGACUGAAAGUAAGUGUAGGUCUUUUAAACCUAUUAUAGCAUGUACGCCCGCUUCUGAUGA
rnacentral:tRNA from 1 species